CGGAGUCACAUCCUCAGUGGGGAAGACCAGAAACACUCUACCACUGCACUGUUGCAUAACCAAGAAACUUUCCCCAUGAUGCCCUCAGAACACUCAGAUAAUCCACACCUUGUACAGAGCCUACAUCUUUGCCCAGUAUCCAGUGACUCCACCCCACCCCCACCAUUCAUAUCCU